rnacentral:rRNA from 1 species
ACUUUGAAAAGAGAGUUAAAAAGUGCUUGAAAUUGCUGGGAGGGAAGCGAAUGGAUGCCUUUGUUGCCCGCUGGUUGUGUGCGGAACGGCGUAAAAGCUGGUCUGUCAACCAACUCAGCGGGCUCGCUAGUGUGGGGGUGGAUGCCUGGACAAAGAUCCCGGGCUUUCUGUUCGGGAUUGAUGCUGGUGUCCACUCUGUGGCCUUGGGUGUGCGCCUUUCUGGCGGGUUUGUUUACCCUGCACGCCCGGGACGCUGGUGGCUUUUGGUUUUUCAUUCGACCCGUCUUGAAACACGGACCAAGGAGUCUAACAUGUAUGCGAGCCUGCGGGUUUGACACCUCGCUAGGCGUAAGGAAACUGAUGCGUGGGAUCCCCUUUGUGGGUGCACCACCGACCGACCAUGAGCUUCUGCGAAAGGUUCGAGUUGAAGCAUACCUGCUGGGACCCGAAAGAUGGUGAACUAUGCCUGAGCAGGGCGAAGCCAGAGGAAACUCUGGUGGAGGCUCGUAGCGAUACUGACGUGCAAAUCGUUCGUCAGACUUGGGUAUAGGGGCGAAAGACUAAUCGAACCAUCUAGUAGCUGGUUCCCUCCGAAGUAUCCCUCAGGAUAGCUGGAGCUCAUAUUGAGAGUUUUAUCAGGUAAAGCGAAUGAUUAGAGGCAUUGGGGGUGAAACACCCUCGACCUAUUCUCAAACUUUAAAUAGGUAAGGUGUCGGGGUUGCUCCGGUGAACCCCGACCUUUGAAUC